GAUGAACGCUAGCGGCAGGCCUAAUACAUGCAAGUCGAACGGUGUCUUCGGACAUAGUGGCGCACGGGUGCGUAACACGUAUGCAACCUACCUUACAUUGGGGGAUAGCCUUUCGAAAGGGAGAUUAAUACCGCAUAAGACAGCAGCUGGGCAUCCAGCAGCUGUUAAAGAUUUAUCGAUGUAAGCUGGGCAUGCGUCCAAUUAGCUAGUUGGUGAGGUAACGGCUCACCAAGGCAAUGAUUGGUAGGGGAACUGAGAGGUCAAUCCCCCACCCUGGCACGGAGGUACCGGCCACAUCCUUACGCGAGCCAGCAGUAGGGAAUAUUGGGCAAUGGACUCAAGUCUGACCCAUCCAUGCCGCGUGCAGGAUGAAGGCGUUAUGCGUUGUUAACUGCUUUUAUACAGGAACAAACGACUCUUGCGAGAGGCAUUGACGGUACUGUAUGAAUAAGCACCGGCUAACUCCGUGCCAGCAGCCGCCGCCGUAA
rnacentral:rRNA from 1 species